UACAGAGGGUGCAAGCGUUAAUCGGAAUUACUGGGCGUAAAGGGUGCGUAGGUGGUUAUAUAAGUUGAGUGUGAAAUCCCUGGGCUUAACUCAGGAACUGCGCUUGAUACUGUAUGGCUAGAGUACUGUAGAGGAAGGUGGAAUUUCCAGUGUAGCGGUGAAAUGCGUAGAUAUUGGAAGGAACACCAGUGGCGAAGGCGCCUUCUGGACAGAUACUGACACUGGAGGCACGAAAGCAUGGGGAGCAAACAGG
rnacentral:rRNA from 1 species